rnacentral:rRNA from 1 species
AUUGAACGCUGGCGGCAGGACUAACACAUGCAAGUCGAGCGGAGCGGCGGACGGGUGAGUAAUGCCUCAGAAUCUGCCUGGUAGUAGGGGAUAACGUCCGGAAACGUGCGCUACUACCUCAUACUAUCAGAUGAGCCUCGGUCGGAUUAGCUAGUUGGUGGGGUAAAGGCCUACCAAGGCGACGAUCCGUAACUGGUAUGAGAGGAUGAUCAGUCACACUGGAACUGAGCCACGGUACAGACGCCGACGGGAGGCAGCAGUGGUGAAUAUUGGAUAAUGGGAGAUAGCUUGACCCAGCCAUGCCGAGUGUGUGAAGAAGGUCUUCGGAUUGUAAAGCACUCGAAGUUGGGAGGCGGUACCAACAGAAUAAGCACCGGCUAACUUAGUGACAGCAGCCGCGGUAUUUC